rnacentral:rRNA from 1 species
UGGGGAAUCUUCCGCAAUGGACGAAAGUCUGACGGAGCAACGCCGCGUGAGUGAUGACGGCCUUCGGGUUGUAAAGCUCUGUUAAUCGGGACGAAUGGUUCUUGUGCGAAUAGUGCAAGGAUUUGACGGUACCGGAAUAGAAAGCCACGGCUAACUACGUGCCAGCAGCUGCGGUAAUACGUAGGUGGCAAGCGUUGUCCGGAAUUAUUGGGCGUAAAGCGCGCGCAGGCGGAUUGGUCAGUCUGUCUUAAAAGUUCGGGGCUUAACCCCGUGAUGGGAUGGAAACUGCCAAUCUAGAGUAUCGGAGAGGAAAGUGGAAUUCCUAGUGUAGCGGUGAAAUGCGUAGAUAUUAGGAAGAACACCAGUGGCGAAGGCGACUUUCUGGACGAAAACUGACGCUGAGGCGCGAAAGCCAGGGGAGCGAACGGG